UCCCGAAAUUCAUGUCGCAGCUGUCAUUUUGCAAUUUAGUCCUCAGCCUUCUCCCGACCGAACCCGAAGUCCCUCUGCGUGGUCGCUCUCUUCCUCCUUCCUCUCCGACCGGCCGGCACCACCGACGCCGUUUCCCUCCGCGCAGCUCCACGCUGCCUGCGCCUCCUCCCCCUCCCCCGCAGUUCCUCUCCCUCCCCAGCGCCGGCGCCCUCUCCCUUGCGCGCGUUACCGGCGCUCUCUUCCUCUCGCAUGUCCCUCCGCAUCGGUAAAAAACCGAUUUUCCCCCUCCGGCUCUUCGAUCUGCAGCGGUCGUGCUCAGUCUGCGGCGGAGACUACCAAUACGGCGCGACAGAGCUACUUCUGCCGGUCGCCUGCACGGGGCUGCUGCUGCUUGUCGUCAGGUGAGGAGCUCAUCUCCUGCAGCCGCGGCUACCUGGCCGCCUUCGUCAUGCUCAUCCAGCAUCAACACAGGUCUGACUACGACGUGGCUACGGCCCACGCAGCAGCGGCGGCGGGAUGGUGGCGGCGAGCUCCGACAUGUUCCUCCAUCCGCUCUAGGACUCCACCGCCAAGCACACCAACCUCAAGGCAUAUGAUGUGCACCCUUGGUCGCCCGGUCCGACGAACUGCUAACGAAACAACGCCCAACGUCAUGAGUGUGCUCACGUUCUGCAAUCAAGCAACCGCCCUUCUCCGUUCUCCUCCAGCAGCAGCAAAAGGUUAAACUUUGCAAUCGUUUUUUACGGUAAGGAAUCAACCCAUCACCCACAUGAAGUUAGCUAGCUGGGUGAUCCUGAUCCAAAUGAAUUAAAGGUGACCUCCUCAAAGUAGUCCAAAGAGAACCUUGCAAGUCCAAGAGAGAACCACCAUACUUGGCAAAAAUGGCAACAUCAAUGUCAAUCAACAGCAUCUAGGCAUUUGGACGAUAAAACAACAUCAAUAUCAAAGAAUUUGAAGAUGCCUCAAAGCAUAGUUUAGCAAAAAGAACACUGGAGGAGGAACUGGAGCAACUCUGCUUGCCGGAUGAGAUUUGAGCACGAAGCUCCUUAACUCGAAGGCCGGAGUGAACAAACAUCCCAGCAAUCAUGUGCUGCCAAGGACACUUAAUAAUCUCGAGUGAAGUUGGAAGCCAUUGGAUCUUUUUCGAACUGCAACUAGCAGGACAUCAACUCCAAAAUUAUCAAAGAGUGCAGAGGAGGAGCAGCAACAACAACACGGGCACGGGAGAAGCAGGCGACAGGGGAGAAUCACGGGAGACAGCAGAGCUCCACCAGCAGGAGCUCGAGGAGAAGCAGCAGUGGGAGCUCGGGAAGAAGCAGCAAUCGGAGCUCAAGGAGAAGCAACAGGGGGAGCUCGAGGACGCGCGGGAGAGCAGUUCUGGGCGGAAGCGCGGAUCUUGGCGGCGGCGCAUGUAUGGGCGGCGGCGGCAGAGCAGUUGGGCGGCAACGCAAGUCUGGGCGACGGGAGGGGAUCGAGGCGGCGGAGGCGACGCCCCUAGGAACCGCGGCUGGAGGGGACCGCAGCUGGCCGGCGCCGGCCCCUCGGACGAUGAGCGGAGGAAGAAGACGGGGCGGAGGGGUCUGUUUGAGACAAUUUUGAGAUGACGAGGUUUUGUUUGCAAAUUUACCAAUGAACUGGGCGUGCGACAUUAAUUUCGGGACGGAGGGACCGGCGACGCACACAAACCCUAAUUCCAGAAACAUCCCCUCCGACCUAGGCUAUGGCUUUCAUCGUGUCCAAGCUCGCGCGGGCAGCCCUCGCAUCCCGCCCCGUUGGAGAUAUUGCUGGUGGCAUCUCCCCAUGUCUCUCCCGGCUCUAUCUGGCGGCUUGUACCAGCCGUCGCAUGUUUGCAGCUUCUGGCGGUCCCAUGUCAAAAGAUGCACCCCGAAUAUUUCCCCUUGUUGAUGAGAAUUCCAUUAAGUCGAAGGAAUCCCUAUGGGCCUUGUAUGAAUGCUGGUGCAAGUAUUGGGGGGUAUCCCGUGACCGUGAAGAGAUGGUCCGCCGGUUCAAGUCAUUUGAGGCUACUGCACAGUGGGUUUACAAAAUGAACAACUCUGAGUGUUCGCAAGUGUCUCAACUGGGCCCGCAUGCAGAUAUGUCAGAGAGGGAGUUUGCUCAGCUGUUUCCUCCACUUCCUGAGGAUGAUGAUGAAGACAUAGAAGUGCUGGUGCCCGGUGAAGAUUUGGGCCAGGAGCUUGAGGAGCCCUUAAAUAAUUAAACUAUGAACUUGUCUUACUCCAUCCGUUCCCAAAUAUAAGUCUUUCUAGAGAUUCAACAAGUGACUACAUACGGAGCAAAAUGAGUGAAUCUGCACUCUAAAAUAUGUCUACAUGCAUACGUAUGUUGUCCAUUUGAAAUGUCUAAAAAGACUUGUAUGUAGGAAUGGAGGAGUAUUUGGUUGUGGUAAUACUGUGGUACUGGGAUUAUUGUUGUUAUCUGGUUGUUCUCAUGGAACCAAAUUAGAAUUGAAAUAACUUUGUGUUAUUGCUCUAACCACCUUUGCAUUA